GGGGAUAUAACUAAGUUGGUAGAGUUUUUGCCUUGCAUGCACAAAGUCCUGGGUUCAAUCCCCAAUACCA
rnacentral:tRNA from 1 species